GACGAACGCUGGCGGCGUGCUUAACACAUGCAAGUCGAACGAUGAAGCUGGAGCUUGCUCUGGUGGAUUAGUGGCGAACGGGUGAGUAACACGUGAGUAACCUGCCCUGGACUCUGGGAUAAGCGUUGGAAACGACGUCUAAUACCGGAUAGGACCUCGGAUCGCAUGAUCUGGGUGGAAAGUUUUUCGGUCUGGGAUGGACUCGCGGCCUAUCAGCUUGUUGGUGAGGUAAUGGCUCACCAAGGCGUCGACGGGUAGCCGGCCUGAGAGGGUGACCGGCCACACUGGGACUGAGACACGGCCCAGACUCCUACGGGAGGCAGCAGUGGGGAAUAUUGCACAAUGGGCGCAAGCCUGAUGCAGCAACGCCGCGUGCGGGAUGACGGCCUUCGGGUUGUAAACCGCUUUUAGUAGGGAAGAAGGGCUUCGGCUUGACAGUACCUGCAGAAAAAGGACCGGCUAACUACGUGCCAGCCGCCGCGGUAAGAC
rnacentral:rRNA from 1 species